CCCAACAAGAGCUUUGGGAGUUUCGGAAGAAUCUACCAUGGCGGCCCCUGGUCAGCGCGUGGUGCUCGGUGAUCAAGAACUGGUGGAGAUCCUGCAGGACCACGUCCAUGGACGCACACAUCCCUCUUCUGGAUUCAUCCAUUGGACAAUUGACCCAUACAGUCGCCGGCCUGACCAACUCCCAAACGUCAAUAGGGAUGCUCGUGCUACUACGCAAACCUGUAUCCUCAAAAUCGGCGUACUCACGAUGGCAGCGGCUAUUGGAUAAAUAAGGAAAGAAGGCCCAUUCUCGAGUAUGGCGGGACCGUCAUUGGGGAAUAGCAAAUUUUCAUAUUCCAUUCUGGACCAAAUCGCUCGAACUUGACCUCGACGAAAUGGAUUAUGACAGAAUACACUCUUUCUUCUGAUACUCUUAAAGCCCUCUGUGUAAUUUGUAUGACAGCGACGGAACCAAAGGAACGAGAUAUGUGUGGCCAUGCCCUAACCCACUGCCUCCAGCCGACGAUUAGAAGCUAUGGUAAAGCCCCCUGUAUAAUCGGUAUGACAGCAGGGAACCAAGAGAACGAGAUAGAUCAGGCUAGCACUUCGGAUGCAACAAAACCAAUGGCCUCUAAAUUAUCCAAAUUCUCCUGACAUCGACAUCCUGAAGGACGUAGCCGCUUAUUUGGGUGUGGAGUACGAAGCGUCUCCUCUGGAAUUCAACGACAUGGAUAUGCCUACUUUUUGAUAGAAAGGGGUCUUUAAAUUUCUGCACUAUUAGUCUGGUUUGUUCAGAGUUACUUUAUCUGUAAGAACGUGAGUUUUCUAAGAAUAAGUUUGCUUUCUAUUCCAUGUUGGGUGUUAUAUGUACCUCUUCCCUCCCAGUCUGCCCAAUCCUCUGCCACUAAUGAAAAUAUUGGUCAUUCGCUUUAAGUAAAA